AAGAAGUGGUAGAUUGGUGAUAUGGCUGACUUGAAAUUNNNUUAAGGGGGUUCAAUUCCUUCCCUUCUUG
rnacentral:tRNA from 1 species